AAGUCUGAAAAUUUCUACUAAUAUACGAGUAAUUUUAAGGCAUAGAAGACCAUGUGCGUUGUUUUACCUGUUAAGGUGGUUUAAGACGUUUGGAUUUUAAAGACGACCCUUGGACAGAACACUGCAGAUGGUUUCCCGCGUGCCCUUACGCUGUUGAACAAAACGGGGGGACAUUCAUAGCUCUAGUGCAAGCGUCUGUUGAAAACUAGCAAGUUAUUAGCUUUUAAGUACACAAGGUACAUAAACUUCAUGUAUACUGAAAAAUAAAUAUUAAACUGAAUAAAAAAAUACAACGUACAUGCGUAAAGUUAAGAUGCGUAGUAACGCCUAGAAAACUGUUGUUUAGAUUGUUUGAAACACUUUUAUGUGACAUUUGUCGUCCAGAAAAUCGCAAAGUCUUUUUUAUUUUUUUGUUCAAAAGCGAUAUGGAGCAAGUGGUGGAGAUGUGCAAGACUUGACAAGUGCGAUGGAAAAAUUGAAAUUAAGAAAAUCUGUAAUUGAAUCAAUUAUGACACAACACAGAGCUGCAUGUCUUGAUAUGGGAUACAAGGAAGAUGAUGUUAAAGAAGCUGUGCAAGAAUUGCUAGAGAGAGGAAACGAAAAACCUUCACUUGAAGAUAUAAUAGUGUUGAUCGAUGUCAUAAGAGAAAGGGAACUGGUCAAAGGGGAAUCUAGUGCAAAUGAAACUCCUUUAGAAGAAAAUCAACGACUGAAGAAAAUCGUUUUCUGCAUGAGAUGCGGCAAGAACAAUGUCAAUGCAUUGUUUUUACCAUGUACACAUCAUGAACUGUGCAUGAAAUGUGCUGGACCUUUAAACGAAUGUCCUGUAUGUCAUAGGGGCAUAAGAGAGAAAAUCCGUACUUACAUGGCCUAAGGCAAGACUUUCAAAUACUGUUAUUGUCAUAUAGCGUUGUUGCAUUUUCAAGCAAAAUAAUGGUUAUUUGUAUCACUUGUAUGAUAUUUGUUAACCCUUUAACGGAAAUCCGUCUGUCUGGUAUGAAAUGUUAUGCUCAAGGUUAUCAAACCAGACCAUAAAAUAUUCAUCAUCGGUUUGCAGUGUCACAAUAAAUAAAGCUAAAAAGGAUGAAUAUCCCAUGUGUAAAGACACGCUCCAAAAGCACACACUUGAAAACUUGGAAUUAUCGCAAACAGUAACAUUUAUUUUUGCACUUCAAACAUCGGAACAACUUUACACCUACUGGAUAUUUCACAUCUAGUGCUGCGAUAGUCUUGUGGUUCUGUAUUGCUAAUUUUACAUGCUCACUGGUAUAAGAACAGAAAUACUGUUUUCGAAAUCUCUUUCGAAAUUCGAAGUCUCUGCUUUCUGUAUAAUUGACAUUAUACUGCAGGCAUGUGUUGACCUAAACCUUUUACAUUGUAUAAGUGCAAAAAAUAAAACCAGGGACGACUUAGAGAAAAGGUUAUUUUUACUGUUUCUGAAACAGUUGAGGCAAAAAACAAAGUUAUAAACUGAUAAUCAACAUAAAUUAGCAUUUGUGUGGCAUCAAAUUUCAUUUGAAUAAUAUAUUUUAUAUUUUAUGCUUAUUGUUCAUCUGUAGGAAACUUAUUGAUCCUGUUUAAUUUAACAACAAUUUAUUUACUCUUUUUAUUCCUUAUGAUAAAUAUGUUGUAGAAGGGCUUCAUCCUCGGGAAAUGAUAUUACGGAAAACACAUGCAUUGUCCCUACACUAAAAUGUAAAUGAUUAGUUGUUAGUUGUCAAUUUGAAUAACAUUUCUCAUUCAGCGCGGCCUCUGGAACAGCCACUGGAGCUACAUCAUAUACCACCUUGGUAAUUUUAUCCAUACCUAAGAUUGUUGCCAAAGUUGUUUUCCAAUUUAAGCCCUAUUGAACUCAGAACCGCACCUUGUACUGGUCAUUCUCGCCGCCUGUUUCUGAUGGUUACGAAAUUGCCUUGGACAGUUAACGACGACAAUUGCGAUAUAAACGUAAUAUAAAAGAGACUAUAUAUAUAUACGUGGGCUGCCAGCUGCGCCAUUCCUAAAAUGUCGCAGAUCAGAUCAAACGUAAUGGUUGUUUACACUUGAUACAGUGUAGUACUUCCUGAUGAACUCGAAAAAAAGAAAUUUGAUCUGUAAAUUUCGUUUACUGGUAGAAUAAUUUAAUAAAUCGAGUAAUUAAACAAUGACGUAAAUGACAUUUUUGACAACAAAUAAGUUUCAUGUAUCCUAGCAUAUUUUAUAUACUCGUUCCAGUCAUAUAUUGUACAUAAUAAUAGAAAAUACCAUAGAAAACUACAACUGGAUUUUGGAAGAAAUCCAGUUGUAGUUUGAAACGCUUAAAUGUCGGACCUUUAUAGUGCCGUGCAUUUACAUGUUCUACUAGAUGAUUUUCAAUAUUUUCAAUAAUGAUUUAAUCAAUUUCAUGGAUGCCAUGACUGUGGUAUCUAAUUAACCCUUUAUUUAAUGAGGAUUUCAUAUAUGACAGCAUAUUUUAUUUGAAAUAUGGGCGUCAAUAACAUGAUUAUGUAGCAUUGACUUACAUGAACGAGUUCAAUAACGUGACUACACAUUUCUGCAAUAUGUCAAAUGAUUCAAAACCGCUUUUGUUACGUUACUCAAAUAAUGAAUUAAUAAUCACACGAAGACAAGGUAUAUAAAUUAUAAACUAUAUUCUUGUACACACUCUAGACCUUGAAUAAAUCGAGAAAAUAAUAGUAUAAAUUCAAACAUACGUUUAUUAUAUCGUAUUUUCAAGUUUAUCUUUACCAACACUGACAAUUCGACAUCGGUGUCAAAAUCAAAGUUACGUAAUGAAAAUGACGAAAAGUCAUACUUCCUCUUGCACUAAUCACAAGUCUACUUUUUAAAUUGUUUCACACAGCAUGUAGAAAGAUGAAACAAAAGACAAAAUCAGUUUUGGAAUAGGUGAUACCCAUAUUGUUGGAGUUGCGCGUACAUUUGGAAUGUCAAUACCAGAGCCACGAUUUAUUGAUUAUUUGUCUUUUAUUGGUUACAAACCAUGAACGGAAAUUAUUUAAAAAUUCCUGAAAGCGAAAAAAAAGCAUGGAAUUUUGAGAAAUUAAAAAAUAAUUCAGGCAUCGCGUCACUUUACGUUACUUAAAUCGGAACAGACGUUAAUACAUAUUUCUUUCAAUGGUUUUGCAACAAUUUCGCUACUAAAAGUUUCUAACAUGGUAAUAAAUUUGUAAAUUCUGCAAAGCAUGUUUAUUUGUUAUUAGUAGCAAGGCAAACUUAAACUUUGAAAUUGUGUGUAACUGCAUGAGUUGCAAGGUGUGUACCUUGAACAUUUGAUAAAUUAAUGUGAUUUGUUUCCAGAGAUCGAUUUCUUUGUACUAAGGUGUCUUACUUGUAUUGUCAAUUCAGUAAUUUCGUUUGGUAAAUAAAUGAACUUUCUAUUUUUAGUUUUAAUUUAAGUGUUGAUUAUAUCAAUAUUAUUUUUAUAUUUAUAGAAUUAUCGCCAUAUUGAUUUAUUUGUACCAAUUAGGUAUGUUAUAACAUAAUCAAUUAGAAGUUCGAUUUAUUGUGUUGAUAUUUAUACGGUUCAAAGAAAAUGUAUUUGGCUUCAUUUGUUAUCUUGACAAAGCCGCUUUGAACACUUUUGAACAUUCCAAAGACACUCUUUCAGGGAAUGUGACACCAUUUCCAUUACGUCAUUUUAGAAGUAUUUAUAUUGUCUUUCAGUUGCAUUCAGACUAUCAUCUCUCUCUUGGGAAUGAAUAGGGUAGAUGACUUAAUCUUGCUUAUCAAGUAUUGAGGAAGAAAGGCCGUUCUUAGUACAUUGAACAGUCCACAUAUACUAUUUCAAGGAAUGUGACAUCAAUUACCAUACAUCAUUUUAAAUGUAUUUAAUAUAUCUUUUCAAAUUCAGUAAGGUCCAAUAUGCGUUCUUGGGUAUGAAUUUGGUAGAUCAUUCAGUCUUCUACGUUACGCCUUCUUGGAGAUCGUCGGUCGUAACACGUUUGAAGAUCCCACAGACCGUCUUUUAGGGAAUGUGACAUCACUUAACAUACAUCAUUUUAGAGGUAUUUACAUUGUCUUUCGAUCGAAUUUAUACUCAUGUUGUUUGUGCCGUGUGGCGGCCGUAAAAUGUCUCCCCGUACAUUCAAUCGGGGCUGUUAUAUUUCGAUCUUCUCAGAUCGUUCAGCACGACUUUUAUGUCGUGUUACUGGUACUGUUUAGUUUCUCAGCAUGAACAUUUCGGCCUGGGUGGUUCCAAUACUCCCGCUUUCAUAGCUUUGGGUAUUGUUUAAUCACCCCUUGGAUAUGGUGCCUGCUUUUUUUUGUCUUUUGGCAGUUCCUGUGAUAUGCAGGCUCAGAUCCCCUUUCUAAAUUCCAGUUUGUUUAGUUCUGCUUAUUGUUUUCUCGUUUAGGGCAAACCCAUUAUUUUAACUGGGGACCAUACGCCGCUUUUCAUGGAAAGUGUAGCACUGAAGGUUCCGUAUGCACCGCCGUAUGAACACAUCUGCGGAUGUCUCAAAAUUGUUUUUUGUACUUUUAGCAUGUGUAAAUGUUGAGUUCUGCUCAACCCGGGGCUAGAGGGCGUGGACGGUAGCAUACCGUCCAUGAACAGGCUCAAUGAAACCGAGCCUGCAACAUUUUCGUUUUUGUUGUGUUGAGCGACCUGUGGAGUUUCCACUUUUUCUAUUUUAAUCUUUGGAAUAAAAUGGAUAUUUCAUUCAAUCUUUCAUCUUAAGUCUUCUUGGAAAACGCCGUUUGGAGCGCUAUCGAACAGCAUACAGACCAUCUUUCAAGAAAUAUGACGACACUAAUUAAGUCUUGUUUUACAUCAUUUUAAAGGUACCAAUACUGUCUUUCAAAUGUAUUAAGUACACGUUCCUAUCUAUGGGAAGAAAACGUUCCUUCAAUAUAAACACCUUUAAAAUGGUGUCAUUGAUCGAGGCCGAUGAAAGGACAAGUAUAUGUGCGCUGGGGAAAUAUUUCAUGAUGGACCUGUGAAUUCUUUACUUGUGGGUGAAACAGGUCUCAUAAGCGUAAAUACGACUAGCUUCUACUGAUUAUAAAACAUACCGUACGAUUUGUUGUGAAUUAACUGUUGUUGUACUUUUAGUAGUUCAACCGCCACCCUUGUUUAAGAGCAACAUUUAAAAAACACGUUUUUUUCAUCCUCAAGUAAUAAGUAAGUAGACUCGCCCAGUUUAAUCAAUCUAGAGCGCUUACUUCACCCGAUUUACAUUCGGAACAUUUUCACGCGUUUCGGGCUUUAUCGUAUGUUUAACAUGGGAUUUUUGAACCGUCCAAAGAUGUUGGAAAUGUUUGUCUCAUUGUUUAUUUUUUUUUAAUAAAAAUGUUACUGCUUUCAUUGUCUACCACUUUUUUCCACCCUUGCCUGGCAGUAAUGAGUUUGUACACUGUUCAGACAAUUGUGCUCUGUUGAAAUUUAACCAAACACAAGUUUACCUGCAUAAACAGAAAGCAUGACAUGUCACCAUGCGCGGAUCCAGAGGUGGGGGGGGGGGACCGGGGGUCCGGACCCCCUCUGGAAAAUCUUUAAAAAAGAAAAGAAGACAAGAAGGAAAGAAAAUGUUUUUCGAAAAAGGCAACAUUAGGACUGCAUGUAAAGUAUAUGCGACUGCUGCUAAUACGACCUCGACAUAAUUCAUAUUAUUUAUCUAAAAGAAACUAAGAAUUUUACCUUCAAGAAAGCUUGAUUUUAUCGUUUUCCCAAAUUUAACAGGUUAGUCCAUAAAACUGUCCCAGAAUGCAAAAAAUGAAGUGCUAAAUUUCAAAAUUUCCAGGGUGGAGGGGGGGGGGGGGGGGCAGGGGAUCGGACCCCCUCUGAGAAAAUUGGCUGUGUCCUUGCAUGGUCACUAUACCUGUCCAGUACUGGACAUUAUGGUAAACGCUUCUUUCCUGCACAAAUGACAAUUUCGCAACUUCUGUCCGGUUUGUAUAAAUUUCUGGCCGCGAUAAACCAUUUGACUUGUAUUCCUUGGCAUAACAUUUGUUUGUUGUUUAACAUGGCCGCUAACGGCAUUUUGCUAUUGAUACCAUACGUACACGUACGUGUUAAUUACACCAUACCCGUCCUCAAAGUACGCACUUUGAAUUACAUGCAUUUAAAAUAAAUUAAAAUGUGUAAUAAAUGGUGUUUGUCUGUAAGCUGUUGAAAAUAUCCUAACAAUGAUUUACAUCACAUGCAAGACCGUAUACCGGUAUUUGAAAAUUCGCCGUUAAUUACCCAAUUUCUUUAUCCAAAACGAACUCUUUCUGUUGGUAGCCAUUUUGUUACUGUGUGUCAGCUACGUGUGCGCUCUGUUGAUGUUGAUAGUGUCGUUCUAUAUUUAUCAAUGUUUACCAAUUAAACCGUUGAAACGGUUUAUAAAAGUGCAUGUCUAUAUUAGAAAAACUGCGAAAAUUCAGUAAGACGACGUGUCGCGCGCAAGACCCAGGUCCGUAGCUCAAAGGUCAAGGUCACACUUAGACAUUAAAGGUUAUUGCAUUGAUGGGCGUUUCCGGUCCAUAUCUUUGUCAUCGAUGGAUGGAUUUUCAAAUAACUUGGCAUGAAUGUGUACCACAGUAAGACGACGUGUCGCGCGCAAGACCCAGGUCCGUAUCUUAAAGGUCAAGGUCACACUAAGACAUUAAGGGAUAGUGCAUUGAUGGGCGUGUCCGGUCCAUAUCUUUGUCAUCGAUGGAUGGAUUUUCAAAUAACUUUGCAUGAAUGUGUACCACAGUAAGACGACGUGUCAUGCGCAAGACCCAGGUCCGUAGCUCAAAGGUCAAGGUCACU